AUGCAGCUAACAAAUUUUAGGCCCAUAAACCUUAUACAUGGUGUGGCAAAGAUCUUUGCGAAGGUGUUGGCUACUCGCUUGGCUUUGCUGCUCCCAAGUAUUAUUUCCAGAGCUCAGAGUGCCUUUGUCACUAAGAGAUCCAUUCAUGAGAAUUUCAAAUUUGUCCGGAAUGCGGCCAGAGCUCUGCACCAGAAGAAGCAACCAUCUGUGCUCAUGAAGAUAGAUAUUUCAAAGGCCUUUGAUUCCUUGUCCUGGGAAUUCCUCUUGGAGACCUUGAAGAUCAGAGGUUUUGGAAAUAAAUGGUGCUCCUGGGUUUGCGGUCUUCUGAGCUCAGCCUCAUCGUCGGUUCUCAUCAAUGGGGAGACCAGCACACAGUUCGCUCUGGGGAAGGGAGUUAGGCAAGGUGAUCCCAUUUCGCCGGCCCUUUUUAUAUUAGCCAUUGACGCGCUGCAAGCCAUGCUUAGUUGGGCGGCUAGUCAAAACCUGCUGGUUAAGAUGGGGCUGGACGCGAAAACCCCAAGGGCCUCUAUCUUUGCGGAUGAUGCGAUUAUCUUUUUCUCUCCAGUGGCUUCUGAUCUUCAGGUCGUUUCUGCCAUUCUGGAACUGUUUGGAGAGGCCUCCGGGCUGAAAAUUAACUUUGAGAAAAGCUCCGUCACGGGCAUCCGGUGUGGGGAUGAGCAGGCCAGGGAGGUUGCGCUUUCUUUAACUGUCGGCACAUGCAGUUCCCCCUGA
rnacentral:rRNA from 1 species